rnacentral:rRNA from 1 species
AGACGGGUGAGGAACACGUACGCAACCUCCCUUUAACUGGGGCACAACCUUGAGAAAUCAGGGCUAAUUCCCCAUAACAUUGCGAAAGGGCAUCCAAUUGCAAUUAAAGAUUCGUCGGUUAGAGAUGGGCGUGCGUUCGAUUAGCUAGUUGGUAAGGUAACGGCUUACCAAGGCAACGAUCGAUAGCUGGUGUGAGAGCACGACCAGCCACACGGGCACUGAGAUACGGGCCCGACUCCUACGGGAGGCAGCAGUAAGGAAUAUUGGUCAAUGGGCGAAAGCCUGAACCAGCCAUGCCGCGUGAAGGAUGAAGGUCCUCUGGAUUGUAAACUUCUUUUAUCUAUGAAUAAACGCCUGAUUUCUAUCGGGUUUGAAGGUAAUAGAUGAAUAAGCACCGGCUAACUCCGUGCCAGCAGCCGCGGUAAUACGGGGGGUGCAAGCGUUAUCCGGAUUCACUGGGUUUAAAGGGUGCGUAGGUUGAUAGGUAAGUCAGUGGUGAAAUACUCCGACUCAAUCGGAGAACGGCCGUUGAUACUAUUUAUCUUGA